GACGAACGCUGGCGGCGUGCUUAACACAUGCAAGUCGAACGGAAAGGCCCUGCUUUUGUGGGGUGCUCGAGUGGCGAACGGGGGAGUAACACGUGAGUAACCUGCCCUUGACUUUGGGAUAACUUCAGGAAACUGGGGCUAAUACCGGAUAGGAGCUCCUGCUGCACGGUGGGGGUUGGAAAGUUUCGGCGGUUGGGGAUGGACUCGCGGCUUAUCGGCUUGUUGGUGGGGUAGUGGCUUACCAAGGCUUCGACGGGUAGCCGGCCUGGGAGGGUGACCGGCGACCUUGGGCCUGCGGUACGGCCCAGUAUCCUACGGGAGGCAACGGUGGGGAAUAUUGCAGAGUGGCGGGACGCGUGAUGCGGCAGCGCCGCGUGCGGAAUGCCGGCUUUCGGGUUGUAAACCGCUUUCGCCUGUGCCGAGGCGUGCGUGACGGUACUGGGUAAGAAAGCCCCGGCUAACUACGUG
rnacentral:rRNA from 1 species